UUUGUGGCAGGCCUAAGGUUUGCUGAAUCUCUGCUUACAAUCUGAACAGGCAUUAGAGUUUUGGUUUUUUUUCAAUUCAAGUGCACAGAAGAAGCAGGAUCUGCUUAAACAUAUAUCAUGUCUAUGUCGAAAAAUGAGAAUGUGGAAGAAAAGUUAUGUCACAUCUGAGAAUUGCAGGGGAAGUGAUGUAACACCAAAGCUGCUUUCACUCUUAAAUACUGGGUACCAGAACAUCUCAGAAAUUAUCAUAUGGGGCUGACCCAGAAUUCAGUUCUACCACUGAAGCCUUCUUUCUGCCUUCCCUCCACUGUGGCGAAAUAGAAACCUACAGUAGUGUGGCAUGAAAACCAGGAAUAUAAUAAAGGUCUCUUUUACAGAUUUCUUUUUAAAAUGUCCCCCGCCCCCGGCACCCAAUACCUAAUUUCAUUGGAGCUCUGCAGCUAGAUUGACAACAUCUUGACAACCAGUGCAAAGCAGGAAGCAUGCUGGUAUCAGGAAGGUAUCAUAUCAGCUUUAGCAAAGUAUUCACAGCACUAUUGACAUGAAUUAUGGUCUUGGUUCAUUAAAAGGGCAGUAUAUUUUUAAAGAAAUAAUAUUGUCCCUUUCUUGUAUUGGGUAGCUUCCUUUGAAUGAUUCAUUUGUUCAAAACAUGAUGACUGCUGAAUCUGUGAGCUGUAGAGCUACUGGCUUUAACUUAGGUAUUAAAAUUGCAUGCACGGGGAUUUAGAUAACUUUUGUCUAAUGUUCAUACCCAGUAACUCAUGCAGGAGAAUCACAGCGUAACAAAAUGUGUUGCAUGCUCAAAAAUAAACAUAUAUUAUUUUCUACUGCUCUGAAUGACUUAAGUGGGAUUUAACAGAAGGGCUUUCAUAUCUGGUGGCAAAAGUUAAAUAAAUGUUGUAUGUUAGCAAGUAACCAGUCAUAAAAUAAAUGAAAUCCGUUGUCAUGAAGGAGGGCUAUACAAUGUUAGUUCUUUGUGUGAGAACAAAUCAUAGGAUAAUUGAAAAAUGUCAGGAGUGCAGCAAUAACUGACAAGAAAAAGAAUAAAUGAUUAGAAUGUGUUUAUUUAUUCAUUUAUUUAACACAUUUGUAUACCGCCCAAAACGCAAGUCUCAAAACACAAGAAUCAUAAUCGUGAUAGCUUAUUAUUCAGCAAUGCUAAAUAGAACA